rnacentral:rRNA from 1 species
UGUAUUUUAUGAAUGGCCGCGGUACUUUGACCGUGCUAAGGUAGCGCAAUCAAUUGGUUUUUAAUUGGAGCCAGGUAUGAAUGGAGUUACGGGGUUUAACUGUUUCCUGCUCAUUAUAUCGAAAUUACUAUAUAGGUGAAAAAGCCUAUAGCACGAAAAAGGACGAGAAGACCCUUAGAGUUUUACUAAAAUUGAGUAGGUACUCAUAACAGUUUAGUUGGGGCAACGUAGGAGCAAAAAAUCUCCUGAAAAUAAUUUAUCGAUUAUUUUAGCAUUAAAUAAACUACCUUAGGGAUAACAGCAUAAUUUUAUUAAUAAGUUUGUGACCUCGAUGUUGGACUGGGAAACUGAAUGGUUAGCCGCCUUUUAGGUAAGUUCUGUUCGAACUAUUAUUCCCACGUGAUCUGAGUUCAGACCGGAACAAUAGGGUUUACGACCUCGAUGUUGGAUCAGGACAUCCCGAUGGUGCAGCCGCUAUUAAAGGUUCGUUUGUUCAACGAUUAAAGUCCUACGUGAUCUGAGUUUCAGACCGGA